AUUGAACGCUGGCGGCAGGCUUAACACAUGCAAGUCGAGCGGGGAAGGGCAGCUUGCUACCUGACCUAGCGGCGGACGGGUGAGUAAUGCUUAGGAAUCUGCCUAUUAGUGGGGGACAACAUUCCGAAAGGAAUGCUAAUGCCGCAUACGCCCUACGGGGGAAAGCAGGGGAUCUUCGGACCUUGCGCUAAUAGAUGAGCCUAAGUCAGAUUAGCUAGUUGGUGGGGUAAAGGCCUACCAAGGCGACGAUCUGUAGCGGGUCUGAGAGGAUGAUCCGCCACACUGGGACUGAGACACGGCCCAGCCUCCUACGGGAGGCAGCAGUGGGGAAUAUUGGACAAUGGGCGAAAGCCUGAUCCAGCCAUGCCGCGUGUGUGAAGAAGGCCUUUUGGUUGUAAAGCACUUUAAGCGAGGAGGAGGCUACUUGGAUUAAUACUCUAGGAUAGUGGACGUUACUCGCAGAAUAAGCACCGGCUAACUCUGUGCCAGCCGCCGCCGUAA
rnacentral:rRNA from 1 species